CUGGCUGCUCCGGGUGUAGGCGGUAGCUGCAGCCUGCAGGUCUCCUCGACGUGCACCAACGCCCGGAGGUUGGCGUUGCGGGAGACCACCCACAUGGCCCGAGCGGGCCCGUCCACGGUGGUGCUUGACGCAGAGCACCACGGCGGCGGGGACGACGAGGCCGCGGAGGAGGAGCAGGAGCGGCGGCGCCCGGCCCGCGAUGGCGUGCACGGCGUCGAUGCGCCCCAAUCCAGCGUCGACGCGACGGAAGAGCAUGUGCACAUCGAGGAUAUGCGACAGCGCGCCGCCGCGCGGUGCCUCAUCCGUUGCCUCGCCCGCCGGCGCGACUCCGGGGAGCGGGCGCAGCCGCAGCAGCCCAAGCCGGCGUCCGACGACGGCGCCAACACCGGUCAAGGGCGGUCGGCGCUGCAUCUGCCUGUCAGAGCUGAGGCGGACGGCGCCAUCUGCCUGUCGGAGCUGGCGGACGGCGGCGAGCGCGUCCACGUGCUCCCGGCGUGCGGGCACAGCUCCCGCCGGCGACGAGGAGACGAUGAGCUACCAGAAAGGUACUUGCAGCCGUACCCGCUGCCGCCGUCGUCGACGUUGUCCUCUUUGCAGUCGCAGGGAGUCACACGUCGGGCCGAACACCAUCGAGGCGUGCGUCGUCGUCGUGUCCUCGCCGGCGGCGAGCGGCCUCGGGCGCAGCACGUAGUGGUCCAUGAGGCUUCAGUUGAGGGGGCCGUAGAGGCCGUCGUCGAUCCAGUACUCCCGGAGCUCGCCGCGGGUGCCCUUCCCGAUGACGCGCGUGGGCGUGGCGAGGGUGAACGCCGUCUCGGCGAAGUACCGGCCGGGCUCGCCGAUCACCUCGACGCAGGGGAGGUCUCCGAAGUAGCGCUCGAGCGCGUGGUCAUUCCUCGAUUGGCUUUUGCGCCGGUGAAAGAAACAGUAGCUACCAAAAGCAGGGCCCAACCAUCAUACGGGGCCAACAAACCAUAUUAUGGGAUCCAAUUUUUAGUUCUCUCUUUGAGGUGGUAA
rnacentral:lncRNA from 1 species